CAGCCUUGACAUGUCGGGGCGCCCGAAGAGAUUUGGGCUUGCCGCAAGGAACCCGAGCACAGGUGCUGCAUGGCU
rnacentral:rRNA from 1 species